rnacentral:rRNA from 1 species
CCUACGGGAGGCAGCAGUGAGGAAUAUUGGUCAAUGGGCGUAAGCCUGAACCAGCCAAGUCGCGUGAGGGAUGAAGGUUCUAUGGAUCGUAAACCUCUUUUAUAAGGGAAUAAAGUGCGGGACGUGUCCCGUUUUGUAUGUACCUUAUGAAUAAGGAUCGGCUAACUCCGUGCCAGCAGCCGCGGUAAUACGGAGGAUCCGAGCGUUAUCCGGAUUUAGUGGGUUUAAAGGGUGCGUAGGCGGCCUUUUAAGUCAGCGGUGAAAGGCUGUGGCUCAACCAUAGAAUUGCCGUUGAAACUGGGAGGCUUGAGUAUGUUUGAGGCAGGCGGAAUGCGUGGUGUAGCGGUGAAAUGCUUAGGUAUCACGCAGAACCCCGAUUGCGAAGGCAGCCUGCCAAGCCAUGACUGACGCUGAUGCACGAAAGCGUGGGGAUCAAACAGGAUUAGAUACCCUUGUAGUC